AUGUCUAAGUCAGAGUCUUCCAGGGAGCCAGAACAGCUGUGGAAGCAGAACAGCUGUGGAAGCUCUUCAUCAGAGGGCUGGGCUUCGAAACAACCAAUGAGAGUCGGAGGAGCCAUUCUGAGCAAUGAGGAAUAUUCACCGACUGUGUGGUAAUGAGAGGUCCAAACACCAAGGGAUCCAGGAGCUUUAGGUUCGUCACAUACGCCACUGUGGAGGAAGUGAACGCAAGACCACACAAGGUGGAUGGAAGAGUUGUGGAACCUAAGAGACCUGUGUCAAAGGAAGAUUCUUAGAGAGCAAGUGCCCACUUAACUGUGAAAUAGAUCUUUGUUGAUGGUAUUAAAGAAGACACUGAAGCACAUCACCAUCAAGAUUAUUUUGAGGAGAAAAAUAGAAUUGAAGUGAUAGAAAUUAUGACUGACAGAGGCAAUGGAAAAAAGAGGGGUUUUGCUUUUGUCACUUCUGACUCUGUGGAUAAGAUUAUUAUUCAGAAAUACCAUACUGUGAGUGGCCACAACUGUGAGGUAAGAAAGGCUCUGUCAAAGCAAGAGAUGGCUAGUGCUUCAUCCAGCCAGAGAGGUCGAAGUGGUUCCGGUUUUGGUGGCAAUGACAAUUUUGGUCGAGGAGGGAACUUCUUCGGUGGUCAUGGUGGCUUUGGUGGCAGCCAUGGUGGUGGUGGAUAUGUUGGCAGUGGGGAUGGCUAUAAUGGAUUUGGCAGUGAUGGUGGCUAUGGAGGAGGUGGCCCUGGUUACUCUGGAGGAAGCAGAGGCUAUGGAAGUGAUGGACAGGGUUAUGGAAACCAGGGCAGUGGCUAUGCUGGGAGUGGCGGCUAUGACAGCUAUAACAACAAAGGAGGCAGAGGCAGCUUUGGAGGUGGUAGUGGAAGCAAUUUUGGAGGUGGUGGAAGCUACAGUGAUUUUGGCAAUUACAACAAUCAGUCUUCAAAUUUUGGGCCAAUGAAGGGAGGAAACUUUGGAGGCAGGAGCUCUGGCCAUUCUGGUGGCAGAGGCCAGUACUUUGCUAAACCACAAAACCAAGGUGGCUAAGGAGGUUCCAGCAGCAGCAGUAGCUAUGGCAGCAGCAGGGGGUUCUAG